AUGGACAUGGACAUGGAGGAGCCUCCCCACCUGUUCCUGUGCCCCAUCUCCAUGGAGCUCAUGGAGGAGCCCGUCACGGUGUCCACCGGCGUCACCUACGACCGCCGCAGCAUCGAGCGCUGGCUCUUCACGUACGGCCGGGCCACCUGCCCGGCCACCAUGCAGCCGCUCGCCAACCUUGACCUCACCCCGAACCACACCCUCGCGCGCGUCAUCUCCUCCUGGCUCGACCGCGGCUCCUCCUCCUCGUCGUCCUCGUCGUCGCCGUCCACGUCGUCGCUGUCGAGUCCGGUCCACGAGCUGGGGACGCCGCUGACGAGGAUGCUGGAGGAGGAGCGGCUGCGGUCGGCGCUGGGCGACCUCGAGCAGACGCCGUUCAAGGUGACCGCGCUCAAGAGCAUGCGGAGCUGCAUGGCGGGCGACGUGGCCAUGCAGAUCAUCUUCGUCGCCUCGGGCGGCGUUGAGGCGGUCGGCCGCGUGAUGGCGCAGGCGCUGGCGGAGAGCGGCGCGGGGGGCGACUUCUCCGCGUUCACGGUGUGCGAGGAGGCCGCGGCGGUGCUCGCCGCGCUCCCGCUCUCCGACGAGGCGUCGGCGGGGCUCGUUCUUGCGCCGGAGUGCCUGAGGCCCGUCAUGGUGUUGCUCCAGCGCGGCAGCGCGGAGGCGAGGCUGCACGCCAUGGACAUCCUCACCAAGAUCUCCAGUGCCGGCGCCGGUGACCACUGGACUGCCGGCAUCGACGUCGACGACGUGCUCAAGUCCCUCCUCGAGCUCCUGUCCGACGAGGUCUCCGCGCGCCUCAGCUCGCGCGCGCUCAACGUGCUCCUGGACGUCGUGGAGCGGUCGCCGAGCGGCCGCGCCAAGGCCGUGGAGGUCGGCGCGGUGCACGUCCUCGUCGAGCUCCUCGUCGUGGACGCCGACGACCGCCACGUCGCCGAGCGGAUACUGCUGCUUCUCAAGCGGCUGUGCAAGUGCCCUGAGGGGCGCCUCGCCUUCGCCGAGCACGACCUGUCGGUGGCAGCCGUGGCGAGGACAAUGCUGCGGGUGUCGGAUCUGGCCACGCAGCUGGCCGUCAAGGUGCUGUGGCUCGUGUCCAUGGUGGCCCAGUCGGAGAAGGUGCUCGAGGACAUGGUGCUCACCGGCGCCGUGGCGAAGCUGCUGGGGCUGCUGCACGUCGAGAGCGCGCCGUCCACGAAGCAAAAGACAGUGAGGAUGGUGAGGAUCCACGGCGUGUUCUGGAGGCAGUACCCUUGCUUCCCAACCGACCUCAAGGAUUACUUGAGGCUGCUCGAUUGA
rnacentral:rRNA from 1 species